GCUUCGCGAAGCGGCUGGCCGCGUUGCGCGAGCCCGACGCGUUCGUCGCGCAGUAUGCGCGGCUGCGCCCGCUGAUCGACGCGGCGCGCGAGGCG
rnacentral:tRNA from 1 species